rnacentral:rRNA from 1 species
GUCCUAGCCGUAAACGUUGGGUGCUAGGUGUGGGCGGAUAUCGACCCCGUCCGUGCCGAAGCUAACGCAUUAAGCACCCCGCCUGGGGAGUACGGCCGCAAGGCUAAAACUCAAAGGAAUUGACGGGGCCCCCGCACAAGCGGCGGAGCAUGCGGCUUAAUUCGAUGCAACGCGAAGAACCUUACCUGGGUUUGACAUGCAGGGUGAAACCCGUGAAAGCGGGCGCUCUUCGGAGCCUGCACAGGUGGUGCAUGGCUGUCGU